AUGCAUCCUCCUUUGACAUUGCACAAACACCCUAUGUGCACUGAAAUUAUUGAAGAGUUUCAAAAGUGUCAUGUGGAACACCCUAUUGCAAAAUUCUUUGGCGAAUGUACAGAUUUGAAAAUAAAAUUGGAUCGUUGCUUCAGAGCAGAAAAAGCUGUGAAGAGAAAGGCCAACUUUGAAAAGAGCAAAGAGUUGAAGGAACAGUUGCGAGUUUUCAGAAAAGAAAAUGCUGCAAACAGCAGUCAAUAG